rnacentral:rRNA from 1 species
UGGUGGAGCGAUUUGUCUGGUUAAUUCCGAUAACGAACGAGACUCUAGCCUAUUAAAUAGAAGUCGUACUCCUCGUGCGUACGACAGACUUCUUAGAGGGAUAAGCGGCGACUCAGCCGCGUGAAAGAGAGCAAUAACA